rnacentral:rRNA from 1 species
AGCGAACGCUGGCGGCAGGCUUAACACAUGCAAGUCGAACGGGCUUCUUCGGAAGUCAGUGGCAGACGGGUGCGUAACACGUGGGAACGUGCCCUUCGGUUCGGAAUAACUCAGGGAAACUUGAGCUAAUACCGGAUACGCCCUUUUGGGGAAAGGUUUACUGCCGAAGGAUCGGCCCGCGUCUGAUUAGCUUGUUGGUGGGGUAACGGCCUACCAAGGCGACGAUCAGUAGCUGGUCUGAGAGGAUGAUCAGCCACACUGGGACUGAGACACGGCCCAGAAUCCUACGGGAGGCAGCAGUGGGGAAUAUUGGACAAUGGGCGCAAGCCUGAUCCAGCCAUGCCGCGUGAGUGAUGAAGGCCUUAGGGUUGUAAAGCUCUUUUGUCCGGGACGAUAAUGACGGUACCGGAAGAAUAAGCCCCGGCUAACUUCGUG